rfam:Lactobacillus collinoides DSM 20515 = JCM 1123 strain DSM 20515 NODE_65, whole genome shotgun sequence.
GUAAGGCCUUGAAGCAAGGGCGGACUAACGAAUCGUGUCAGGUCCGGAAGGAAGCAGCACUAAGUUUGCUCUGCUUUGUGCUUCAAGUUGAUAUGAUCUU